UUGGGAACAAGAACGAUCUCACUUCACA
rnacentral:snRNA from 1 species